UAAAACUCAAAUUAAUGUCGACCUAACAACUUUCACAUUAACGACUUCAGAUUACACGCAACACUCUGCUUACCAAUUAAGUAUGCACCUUUGGGGGUAAUCCCAGCCAAGAUGGCUAAGGAUACAAACUUGUAACCACAAGGUCAUGAGUUUGAAUGCCAGCCCUCUUGGUUUGAGCCGGUCAGCUAUGAACAACCUAGGCUGGUUUACCUCCUUGUGGUCCUUUGCCAGCUAGGGCCACAAGGCGGGAUUUAUCCAGUGCACACCCUCAGGUAGUGAUUGCGGGUUCCCGCAUCACCC